GUGAAGCCAGGAUGUGAUUCCAAACUGGACAGUUCGAACUAUGAGCCACAUAACAUCCGAACUGUUAGCAGAGGCACUGUCAGGCUAAGAGGGACCAAGUCCAAACCACCCUGUUUUCAAACACAGGACUAGGCGCCUGCGUGGUGAUCCCAGAAUCAUGGGAAAAUGGUAAAAAUGAAAAAUGACAUCUUUGAUGGAGAAGACUCCACAGAGACCCGGGAGAACCGCAGCCUCUUCCCCUGCUCACAGACAGCUCUCUUUCCCCUCAUAUGGCUGACAGGGCAAGCAGGACUCCACGCUGGCUCGAACAAUGGCUGACAUCCCAGGUCAAGGCUGCGGGUGAGGAAGGAAGACUAGGGCUGCGGACAGGUAAGUG